GGAAGUAAAAGUCGCAACAAGGUAACCGUAGGUGAACCUGCGGUUGGAUCAAUUCUGAGAGAGUAAGGUUAACACCGCUCUAUCUUGUGUGAACUGUCUACUGUACUCGGUGGGUGCUCCGGCCCCAUCGAACCGGCGGCGGGUCCUUUUGGAGCCGUCGUUGACGAACCAACCUUUUAUUUUACCAAUGACUGAAACCCUUUCACUGUGUGAAAAUACAAUGAAAAACAACUUUUGACAACGGAUCUCUUGGCUCUC
rnacentral:misc_RNA from 1 species